rnacentral:tRNA from 1 species
UGGGGUUUUGGCUCAGUGAUAGAGUGCUCAUCUAGCAUGUGUGAGGCACUGGGUUCAAUCCUCAGCACCACAU